UUACGGCCAUAUCAUGUUAGAACACCGGUUCCCCAUACGAUCACUAAAAGUUAACCAACGUUGAGCCUGGUCAGUACCUAGAUGAGUGACCGCUUGGGAAUACCAGUUGCUGUAAG